rnacentral:rRNA from 1 species
CAAUAGCGUAUAUUAAAGUUGUUGCGGUUAAAAGCUCGUAAGUUGGUUUCUGUCGAGGACAGCCGGUCCACACUUUGUGUGAGUUAUCUGGUUUGGCCUUGGCAUUCCUCUUGAAAACAGCUACUGCGCUUGAUUGCGUGGACUGGAGUUCAAGACUUUUACUUUGAGGAAAUUAGAGUGUUCACGGCAGGCAAACGCCUUGAAUAUAUUAGCAUGGAAUAAUAAUAUAGGACCUUUGUUCUAUUUUGUUGGUUUCUAGAGCGAAGGUAAUGAUUAAUAGGGAUAAUUGGGGCGAUUCGUAUUAACGCGUCAGAGGUGGAAUUCUUGGAUUGCGUUACGACGAACUACUGCGAAAGCAUUUGCCAAGGAU